UACGAAGGGUGCUAGCGUUGUUCGGAUUUACUGGGCGUAAAGCGCACGUAGGCGGAUCGAUCAGUCAGGGGUGAAAUCCCAGGGCUCAACCCUGGAACUGCCUUUGAUACUGUCGAUCUGGAGUAUGGAAGAGGUGAGUGGAAUUCCGAGUGUAGAGGUGAAAUUCGUAGAUAUUCGGAGGAACACCAGUGGCGAAGGCGGCUCACUGGUCCAUUACUGACGCUGAGGUGCGAAAGCGUGGGGAGCAAACAGG
rnacentral:rRNA from 1 species